rnacentral:rRNA from 1 species
GUCCGCAACGAGCACAACCCUUAUCCCCAGUUGCCAUCAGGUAAAGACUGGGAACUCUGGGGAGACUGCCGGUGAUAAACCGGAGGAAGGCGGGGAUGACGUCAAGUCCUCAUGGCCCUUACCAUCCCGGGCUACACACGUGCUACAAUGGCAGGUACAGAGGGCUGCGAAGCCGCGAGGUGGAGCGAAUCCCAGAAAACCUGUCUCAGUCCGGAUUGAAGUCUGCAACUCGACUUCAUGAAGGCGGAAUCGCUAGUAACCGCGAAUCACCAGGUCGCGGUGAAUACGUUCCCGGGCCUU